rnacentral:rRNA from 1 species
GUAUAGUAUCCCGCAAGGGAAGUGAACCCGGUGAACUGAAACAUCUAAGUAGCCGGAGGAAGAGAAAACAAAAGUGAUUCCGGGAGUAGUGGCGAGCGAAACCGGAUUAGCCCAAACCAGUGUUGUUUCGGCAAUACUGGGGUUGUAGGACCACGACAUUGAUUGCGUAAUGAAUUAGAACACUUUGGAAAGAGUGACCGAAGAGGGUGAUAGUCCCGUACAAGUAAAGAGCGUUAAUUAUAGUGGUAUCCUGAGUAGUGCGGGGCACGUGAAACCCUGUAUGAAUCAAGCGGGACCAUCCGUUAAGGCUAAAUACUCCUGAGAGACCGAUAGUGAACCAGUACCGUGAGGGAAAGGUGAAAAGAACCCUGAAUAAGGGAGUGAAAAAGAUCCUGAAACCAUACGCUUACAAGCGGUCGGAGCCCGUAAGGGGUGACGGCGUGCCUUUUGCAUAAUGAGCCUACGAGUUACUUUUACUAGCAAGGUUAAGCACUUCAGGUGCGGAUCCGUAGCGAAAGCGAGCCUGAAUAGGGCGACCAUAGUUAGUAGUAGUAGACGCGAAACCGUGUGAUCUACCCAUGGGCAGGUUGAAGCUUUGUUAACCC